rnacentral:misc_RNA from 1 species
GAUGAAGAACGUAGCGAAAUGCGAUAAGUAAUGUGAAUUGCAGAAUUCCGUGAAUCAUCGAAUCUUUGAACGCACAUUGCGCCCGCCAGCAUUCUGGCGGGCAUGCCUGUUCGAGCGUCAUUUCAACCCUCGAGCCCCCCCGGGGGCCCCGGUGUUGGGGGACGGCACACCAGCCGCCCCCGAAAUGCAGUGGCGACCCCGCCGCAGCCUCCCCUGCGUAGUAGCACACACCUCGCACCGGAGCGCGGAGGCGGUCACGCCGUAAAACGCCCAACUUUCUUAGAGUUGACCUCGGAUCAGGUAGGAAUACCCGCUGAACUUAAGCAUAUCAAUAAGCGGAGGA